AGUAACACGUGAGCAACCUGCCCCUGACUCUGGGAUAAGCGCUGGAAACGGCGUCUAAUACUGGAUAUGUGACGUGACCGCAUGGUCUGCGUCUGGAAAGAAUUUCGGUUGGGGAUGGGCUCGCGGCCUAUCAGCUUGUUGGUGAGGUAAUGGCUCACCAAGGCGUCGACGGGUAGCCGGCCUGAGAGGGUGACCGGCCACACUGGGACUGAGACACGGCCCAGACUCCUACGGGAGGCAGCAGUGGGGAAUAUUGCACAAUGG
rnacentral:rRNA from 1 species